AGAAUCAACGCUGGCGGCGUGCCUAACACAUGCAAGUCGAACGAGAAAGUGGAGCAAUCCAUGAGUAAAGUGGCGACCGGAUGAGUAACACGUGACUAACCUACCUUCGAGUGGGGGAUAACCUCGGGAAACCGGGCUAAUACCGCAUAACAUCUUUGAAGUGGAAAUUUCGGAGAUCAAAGGGCAAUUCGCUUGAAGAGGGGGUCGCGGCUGAUUAGCUAGUUGGCGGGUAACGCCCACAAGGCUUAGAUCGGUA
rnacentral:rRNA from 1 species